UACAGAGGGUGCGAGCGUUGUCCGGAAUCACUGGGCGUAAAGGGCGCGUAGGCGGCUCGGUCAGCGUGCGGUGAAAGCCCGGGGCUCAACCCCGGGUCGGCCGUGCGAACUGCUGGGCUGGAGCACUGUAGAGGCAGGUGGAAUUCCGGGUGUAGCGGUGGAAUGCGUAGAGAUCCGGAAGAACACCGGUGGCGAAGGCGGCUCACUGGACCAUAACUGACGCUGAUGCACGAAAGCUAGGGGAGCAAACAGG
rnacentral:rRNA from 1 species